UGCGCAGGCGGUUAUAUAAGACAGAUGUGAAAUCCCCGGGCUCAACCUGGGAACUGCAUUCGAGACUGCUUUGCUUGAGUAUGGGAGAGGGAGGCGGAAUUUCCGGUGUAGCGGUGAAAUGCGUAGAUAUCGGAAGGAACAUCAGUGGCGAAAGCGGCCUCCUGGACCAAUACUGACGCUCAUGUGAAAGCGUGGGAGGCAAACCA
rnacentral:rRNA from 1 species